rnacentral:rRNA from 1 species
CGGAUUAAGGAAACCGGCGCACGGGUGCGUAACGCGUAUGCAACUUGCCCUUAUCAGGAGGAUAGCCCGGGGAAACUCGGAUUAAUACUCCAUAAGAUUUUGAUUGGCAUCGAUUAAAAUUGAAAGAUUUAUUGGAUAAGGAUAGGCAUGCGUCAGAUUAGUUAGUUGGUAGUGUAACGGACUACCAAGGCGAUGAUCUGUAGGGGGCCUGAGAGGGUGAACCCCCACACUGGUACUGAGACACGGACCAGACUCCUACGGGAGGCAGCAGUGAGGAAUAUUGGACAAUGGAGGGAACUCUGAUCCAGCCAUCCCGCGUGCAGGAAGACGGCCCUAUGGGUUGUAAACUGCUUUUGUAUGGGGAUAAAUCUACCUACGUGUAGGUAGUUGAAGGUACCAUACGAAUAAGCAUCGGCUAACUCCGUGCCAGCAGCCGCGGUAAUACGGAGGAUGCAAGCGUUAUCCGGAUUCAUUGGGUUUAAAGGGUCCGUAGGCGGGCUGAUAAGUCAGUGGUGAAAUUUUGUCGCUCAACGAUAAAACUGCCAUUGAUACUGUUAGUCUUGAGUGAUAUUGAAGUAGCUGGAAUGUGUAGUGUAGCGGUGAAAUGCAUAGAUAUUACACAGAACACCGAUUGCGAAGGCAGGUUACUAAGUAUUAACUGACGCUGAAGGACGAAAGCGUGGGGAGCGAACAGGAUUAGAUACCCUGGUAGUCCACGCAGUAAACGAUGCUAACUCGUUUUCGGG